GCGAUCCCAGGUCAGGCGGGGCUACCCGCUGAGUUUAAGCAUAUCAAUAAGCGGAGGAAAAGAAACUAACGAGGAUUCCCUUAGUAGCGGCGAGCGAACCGGGAGCAGCCCAGCAUGAAAAUCGUUCGUCGUCGGCGGCCGAAUUGUAGUCUGGAGAAGCGUCCUCAGUGACGGACCGGACCCAAGUUCACUGGAAGGUGGCGCCGGAGAGGGUGAGAGCCCCGUCGUGCCCGGACCC
rnacentral:rRNA from 3 species